rnacentral:misc_RNA from 1 species
GAUGAAGAACGUAGCGAAAUGCGAUAAGUAAUGUGAAUUGCAGAAUUCAGUGAAUCAUCGAAUCUUUGAACGCACAUUGCGCCCUUUGGUAUUCCGAAGGGCAUGCCUGUUCGAGCGUCAUUUCACCACUCAAGCCUGGCUUGGUAUUGGGCGCCGCGGUCGAUCCGCGCGCCUCAAAGUCUCCGGCUGAGCUGUCCGUCUCUAAGCGUUGUGAUUUCAUUAAUCGCUUCGGAGUGCGGGCGGCCGCGGCCGUUAAAUCUUUCACAAGGUUGACCUCGGAUCAGGUAGGGAUACCCGCUGAACUUAAGAAUAUCAAUAAGCGGAGGA